GGCCGCCGUUUGCCCGCGUGUUUAAAAUUAAUUUCAAUUUUUUCAAACCGUUUCGUUUUCAAACUAAAGCAAGCUACAUAUUUGAAAGUUUCUUGGUGAUGCAGCAAGGUUAUAUAAACCGCAGUGAAGCUGCGGUCGUACAGUCUUCGUAUGAGAAAUACAAGUCAAGCAGACAAGUCCGUUUUGGUCUGUUUUGGGCCUUCAUCAAUUUGGUUUUGGGGGCAUUCGCUAUCUCAGAAAUGUAGGUUUAACUUUUGGUUUGAACCUGGUUCCUAUAGGUUAAAGGACUUUAAAAACUACUUGGCAAUAGAAGAAUCAAUAAUAAUAUCUAUUUUGUUAAGAUUUGUAUAAAUGUGCAUAUUUUGACAUUUGUUAAUAGUUUUUAUGGCACAGUAUUUCAAAGUUUGAAUGUCACCUAUCAAGCAAUUUUCUGGUACAUAG